GACGUCGAAUAUCGACGUCAUAAACACCAAAGUUAAUCGUGUUUAUGACGUCGAAUAUCGAUGUCAUAAACACGUAAGUUGAUUGUGUUUAUGACGUCGAAUAUCGACGUC
rnacentral:miRNA from 1 species